rnacentral:lncRNA from 1 species
CCCGACACCCGACGCCCGAUGUGCACUCGCCGAAGCAGUUCCGGCCGAGAUCCCCGCGCAAGCAGACGCGACGCCCCCCGGACGCCUCCCAGUCGCGUGGCCGAAAAACCGCCCCCCGGAAAAAGCACCCCGAACUGGUCUUUUCCGAAUCGGACUUAAUUUCGGCCGAUUUUCGCAACGCGUAUUUUUAGCUCCCCAAGAGCCGACUUUCAAGUCGCAAAACGUUGAUUUCCAGUCGGAAUACGCGUAGUUCUCCCGAAUUUCAAAACGUUUAACCACGAAAUCAAGUGAGUUUUUAACCGAACUUCGGCCGAUUUUUUAAACUCUCAUUUGUAGGGCCACAACGUUCAAUUUUUCAAGUGUACGAACAAGUCGAAAAACGUCGAGAUCCGAUUUGCAAGUUUCAAAAACGUCGAGUCCGAUUGGUAAAAUUUAGCCACACCUCAGUGCUGAGUUUAAUCCCCUCGAACUCGGCUUGGUCCGACUUUGUGAACGCUCAUUACUACGUUUAAAAGAGCCGAUUUUCAAGUUUAAGUUCGCCCGAAACGUCGGUCUGAAAACAGUCGGUUUUCAAGUGUGAAGACCGUUUUUCCAGUUGGAAAAGCGUUGUGUGUAGCUUAAAAAUUUAAGCAAGUUUUGGGAAUCCUCGGAUGAGAGGCGAUGGUCGUCUUCUCAGGUUGAUGUAAUCCUCUAACGCUCCCCCGGUUCAGGUGUCUUCGAACCGGACUAAAAAACGAAAGACAGUGUGUGUGAAGUGGUCAGUGUUACGAAUUCGAAAUCGCCAUGUGAAAUCGAAUGGUGCCAAGCGGGAUUGCUCUCUACGUUUCGCUGGAUUUUACCAUUACAACACUGUCCAUUUUCAUCCGAUUGAAGAAUUCCUGUAUUAAACCGAUAAGAAAAAGCCACUGCCAGUUUUCGUUCAAACCGAUCCAUGAUAUUAUACGCCCACCGUGCAGACUAAGCUCAUAAUGCCGUCAAAUUAAGGCUUAUAUUUACUUUUGUGCGUAGAUUGUUUCCUGGAACAUCGAAUAAAUCGGCGAAAAAAUACGGGUAUGAAGAUUCCUCUUCGUUUAAGAAUUUUAUCUCUCGGAUAGAUUCGGAGAAAGGGAAGCCGACGAACCUUGGGAUCCGCAAAUAUCGCAACGUUUUUCACCGACACGAUCCUUAAAUUUAUUGCAUCACAGGUCCUAGGCCCAUGAAUGCAUUAAAUAUGGAUGCGGGUAUGUGCUGCGAAAACGAUUCUAGAAAUUUUUACGUGCCGCAGAGGAGCUGUUACGUUUUGUGUCGCAAAAAAGGGUGAGAUAAAUCCGGGCAGUUCGACAUAAGACGACGAUGUAGUUUUUGAGUUCAAGAGCGCCUAGAAAACUAGAGAAUGAAUUUGCACUCUCGUCGUUAUGAAACACAUCCUGUAAUUCUUCAUUUCCAGUGGUAUUGACAAACUGCAACCGCAAACUAAGCAUGCGUCCGUUCAUUAAUAGAAUCCGGCAGUAAAUUAUGAUCUACCGUGCAACCUGCCACGGGGGUGUUUUUAUAGCAUUGACAGUGGCACACAUUAAGGCUACUCCCAGUUGUUGCUAGGUAACCAGGCAGAGUGGUGGGAUGCUUUGGGGAAUUUUUACCCGCCCCUCGCCCCUCCUCGGUGAUGGUUGAGUGUAAAAAAUUAUGAUCAUGAACUGAGGACGCUGUCUGAAUACUUAUGAGUUCCAAUUAAGAUGGAGACCCCCCCGUAUGAUGUCGCUCCGUCUGUGGUAGGUCCCAAGGAUGAAAAACUUCCGCCGAAGCCACUAUGAAACAAUUUAAUUUAGAUUUUUUAUUGUUUUCCCGACCACGACUUUGUACUUUAUGGGCGGAAUAAAUUUUGAGUAGCGUGCUUAGUUUUCAUUUCUGCGUUUUUGCGGAAACUUUCUCGGUUUUAUGCACGGGAAUUCAUAAACGGUUUGUUGAUAUGACUCGGACUUGAAAUUGCACGCCCUCUCGAAACGCAGCCGUUAUUUCUGCUCGAUCUAUACUAUAGAGAAUUAUUGUUAAAUUUUGGCACCACAACAGCGCAUACCUGUAUCUGUCGAGGUUUUUUCCAAUUUGUAAAAAGCUCUGUCCUCUUGCAAUAUUCCAAAAGCUGGAUCUUUGAGCGGAAGCAUACAAGUUCAUAUAAAUAUUUUCCUUGUAGAUUCCUUCGAGAUGAAAGUACAAAUUUUUUCAAUGUAAAUAUCUUUUCUCUCUUUUUUUUGCUACAUUACCCUUUAUGUUUUUUUUCGUUUUUUUACUUAAAAUUUCUGUAAAAAUUGCAUUUUAAAACGUUUCUCUCCAUUCUAUUUUUACCUCACAGAUCUAUACGUUGCUUUAGUUUUUUCUCGAUUAUUAUCGAUAGAAAUCGGUCUAUUUGGUCCGUUUCAAAUUGUUAUAGUUUAAUUUUGUUUUGUUUGGUGGAAGCACCUUUUUUGUGAUUCGCGUCAAAGCCGAGUUACUUAUCGGGUAUAACGGGUAAAAUAUUGUAGUCGCCAUAAGUAUCGCAUAAUAGAUUAUCGAACACUUAAAUAAUUAUUGUAAUCUAUUAUUGGACGGGAGAAAAGAAAUAGUUCCCUCUGAUUUUAUCAAAUCAAAAUACCUCAUGUAAAGUUCACCCCUUUUGUACAAAAAUAUUGUCUGCUCUCGUUUAAUCACCGGACGCCAACUUGUUCGCGUGCUUGAAAAUUAUUUUAAAAUUUCUGUUGCCUUAUUUGGUCAGUAAUUUAAGAAUUUUGAGCCUCUAAAAUUUGUGAAUCGUUUUCAUCCUAAGCUUCAAAAGUCUGACUAACUAAGCAGGUUCAUCAUCCUACUCGAUUGUUCCUAUUUCUCGAUAAUUUUGCUGUCAGAGGAAGGUUGUUUCUAGGCUUGUUUUUUUUAAGAAAGAAGAAAGAUAGCUCAGCCAGCCCAAUAUUGAAACAGCAAAAAGGAAAGUUAGAUUUGGAGAUUGAAGAUUGUUCCUCCAACUUUGUACCUUGUUGUUUUUCAAACCUGCUAAAAUCUUGUGAUUAACUUUAUUCCAAUUCAGAUACAAGAGAGGAAUCAUAGAACCAGAUCACGCAAGAGCAAUAAUUUUAAUUUUGAUGAAAACCUAUUUGUAAGACCUUAGAUUAGAGCUCCUCCUUUUUUUUAGAAGAAAUAAAUUGUACUGAUAAAUGUUUACUGGUAAUAAUGCAAUAAAUUCUUUUUUGCGGUCCAAAAACAUAAACCAAAGUUCUAAAAGUCGGCUUCCCUAACUUUCGUAACGCAACCGAAUUUCGUGAACCAAGUAAAAAUAUUGGCAUCGAGAAACUUCAUUCCGCCAAACGCUACUUUACUUCGUAGUAGAAGCCUUCACUAACGUUAGUCUACCGCUUUCGUCGGCAGAGUCCUCAGGUUUCGGUCUCAAGUUCGAAGUCCGGUAAAUUUUCGUCAGCAAAUUUUAGAAGAUGGAUUCGGAUUAUUGGUCUGAUCAGGUUCCGGAAUUUAUAAUUCGCCUCCGGUAAACCUGAGAGGAACCUGAUCGCGCACCUGUAGCAAUGUGGAAAACCCGGUGAACCUGAAGGAAAACCUAAUCGCGCACCUGUAGCAAUGUGGAAAACCUGAGCCCGGGGGAAGCUAUGCGAAG